UACGGAGGGUGCAAGCGUUGCUCGGAAUCACUGGGCGUAAAGGGCGCGUAGGCGGCGCGGGCAGUCAACGGUGAAAGCUCGGGGCUCAACUCCGAGUCGGCCGUCGAUACUCCCGCGCUCGAGCACUGUAGAGGCAGGUGGAAUUCCGGGUGUAGCGGUGGAAUGCGUAGAGAUCCGGAAGAACACCGGUGGCGAAGGCGGCCUGCUGGGCAGUAGCUGACGCUGAGGCGCGAUAGCGUGGGGAGCAAACAGG
rnacentral:rRNA from 1 species